CCAACAUUGAAUCUGCAGUGGUUUCUUGCAGGUAUGCCGAGGCGAGGUCAUUCUUGGAGAACGCCGCCUCUCUGCUGAGUCAGGCGAUCCGGUCCACAAUCCAUGGCAAAGAGAGGAAGUGUCUGCAUUUGGCUCCCACUCGACGUCCUCUCUGACGCCCACUGAUGGACCUCUGAAUCCAGUCUGCUGGAUUGAUCAGCUUCCCGGCACUUUAUAGCGGCGUCAGGCACCGUCUGGACUGUCACUCUGCUGAGAGGCCAUCAGCACAGAUGCUAACGGGCCUGCUAUGGAAAUGUGUCCCUCCUUCAACAUGCCGGUGACUGAUAUUUAAGGAGGGCUACAGGCCAAGUCAAAGAUUUGAACGCUGGUGUCCAGAACUGCGGUGACCCUCACAGGCAGCGUGAGCUCGAGGUGAGGAUGUCGCCGCUGUCUGUCGCCGUUACUGAUUUGGUGAUGUGGCGCGUGGAGUAGACGUGUACCGACUGGUCUUUUCUGAGCUUUCUCCUCGCUCCAAUACGCAGUCAGUGAAAUGUCCAUGGCAAAUUUUCUCUGGCACACAAUGUACAAUGUCGUUUUCAAGCAUACAAAGCAACCGAAGCGACCAUCAUUUUAUAGCUAUAUCAUCAUCUUAAUAAAUUACCAUUUUAAAAAGUUA